AUUGAACGCUGGCGGCGUGCCUAAUACAUGCAAGUCGAACGGAGUGGCGCACGGGUGAGUAAUAUAUAGCUACUCUGCCCCUUGCUGGAGGUCAACAGUUACAAAUGACUGCUAAUACUCCAUAGCAAGGGAUGGGACUAUAUCGUAUCAGCUAGUCGGGGGGGUAACGGCCUACCGAGGCUAUGACGGGUAACUGGGCUGAGAGGAUGAUCAUUCACAUUGGAAGUGAGACACGAGCCAAACACCUACGGGAAUCAGCGGUAGGGAAUAUUGCGCAAUCGGGGAGACCCUUACGCAGCAUCGGCGCGUGGAGCAUGACAGUUAUCGGAGCGUAAACUCCUUUUGUUAGGGAAGCGGUACCUAACGAAUAAGCACCGGCUAACUCCGUGCCAGCAGCCGCGGUAAUAC
rnacentral:rRNA from 1 species